CCAUCCGAAAUAUGGGAGAGUUCGGGUAAAAAUAUAGGCCCGAAAUAUGAGUUUGGGCAAAAAACAUGGCCCGUUUAGAAAACGAGCCGGGCCUCGGGCAAACUUUUUUUGGUCAGCCUGGCAUAUAAUAAAUAUAUAUUUUUUAAAUACAUUUCCCUAUUUCCCAUUUCCCUAAGCCUGUGCACUGAUCAAAAUCCCUAAGCCCUUCCCUCCUCCCUUUUUUCCCCAAUUCGAAAAUCCACCUCCACCAAUCCACCAUUCCACCUUCGGUCCUCCACGGCUCCACCCAUCCACCAUUCCACCUUCGGUCCUCCACGGCUCCACCCAUCCACCAUUCCACCUUCGGUCCUCCACGGCUCCACCCAUUUCCAGAAUCAGAGGUUAGAGCGGUGCUUCUACGUCUUCUACCUUUGAAUUUCAAAUGGCCCCUCCUCCUCUUUGCCUGCUUAGUCUUGAGUUGAUUUUUUGCAAUAUCAAAGAGAAAGAGUUGUCUUCUUUCGAAAGUGAUGCUAGUGAGGAUAAAGACAUGAUCAUCACACUCCCAAAAAUCAAAGAGUUGAACUUGAAUGUGAUUAACAACAUAUGGAAGCAAGACUCCCCAUCUUGUGAUAUGUGUUAUUACAGAAUGUUGAACCGUCUGAAGAAAAGCAUGAAGAUAGCCUUUAAUUGCAUGAAGCUGGGCUAAUCGGACAAAAAUAGUGGUUCAGCAAGUGACACACAGUCGGGAUCAUGUUCAAAAUGAAAGGCCAGAUGGUGAGGCAUUUUAAUCAGGUUCUUAAAUGGAAAUUUCAUGUGUGCAGAUAUUAAAUAUUGACUUUUCAAGGAUUUGUGAGAUUUUUAUGGUUUUAGAUGCAGGGGAUUAUAUUUUCUGCAUUCUUUGUUUUUUUAGACAAUUUAAACCUGCUAAGAGGAGACUUUUUCAGCCUUCUUUUCCUCACAUAUGUAAUAAUGGUGAUUCAUGCGCCAUUUGGUUUAACAAAGCUGAAUAUUAUGCAUUUAAGUUUGGAUUGCAGGUAUAA